GGGACACGUGGUAUCCUGUCUGAAUAUGGGGGGACCAUCCUCCAAGGCUAAAUACUCCUGACUGACCGAUAGUGAACCAGUACCGUGAGGGAAAGGCGAAAAGAACCCCGGCGAGGGGAGUGAAAAAGAACCUGAAACCGUGUACGUACAAGCAGUGGGAGCACCUUCGGGUGUGACUGCGUACCUUUUGUAUAAUGGGUCAGCGACUUAUAUUCUGUAGCAAGGUUAACCGUAUAGGGGAGCCGCAGGGAAACCGAGUCUUAACUGGGCGUUAAGUUGCAGGGUAUAGACCCGAAACCCGGUGAUCUAGCCAUGGGCAGGUUGAAGGUUGGGUAACACUAACUGGAGGACCGAACCGACUAAUGUUGAAAAAUUAGCGGAUGACUUGUGGCUGGGGGUGAAAGGCCAAUCAAACCGGGAGAUAGCUGGUUCUCCCCGAAAGCUAUUUAGGUAGCGCCUCGUGAACUCAUCUUCGGGGGUAGAGCACUGUUUCGGCUAGGGGGUCAUCCCGACUUACCAACCCGAUGCAAACUACGAAUACCGAAGAAUGUUAUCACGGGAGACACACGGCGGGUGCUAACGUCCGUCGUGAAGAGGGAAACAACCCAGACCGCCAGCUAAGGUCCCAAAGUCAUGGUUAAGUGGGAAACGAUGUGGGAAGGCACAGACAGCCAGGAUGUUGGCUUAGAAGCAGCCAUCAUUUAAAGAAAGCGUAAUAGCUCACUGGUCGAGUCGGCCUGCGCGGAAGAUGUAACGGGGCUAAACCAUGCACCGAAGCUGCGGCAGCGACACUAUGUGUUGUUGGGUAGGGGAGCGUUCUGUAAGCCUGCGAAGGUGACCUGUGAGGGUUGCUGGAGGUAUCAGAAGUGCGAAUGCUGACAUAAGUAACGAUAAAGCGGGUGAAAAGCCCGCUCGCCGGAAGACCAAGGGUUCCUGUCCAACGUUAAUCGGGGCAGGGUGAGUCGACCCCUAAGGCGAGGCCGAAAGGCGUAGUCGAUGGGAAACAGGUUAAUAUUCCUGU
rnacentral:rRNA from 1 species